CUCCUCGCUUUCCUCCACCCGAGCUCCGCCGGCUGCUCCUUGAGAGGAAGGGGACUCGCUAGACCAGGCCGAGGCCCAGCCUCAGAAGUCAGCAUUUUCAAGACCUGGCAUCCGCAGCGUUUCUGUCGCGGGGACUUCUCUCUUCGGCUCUGAGGUCUCCGCGCGCAGAACCCAUGGCAGCUUUUGGUCUUACGCGUGGCUGUGAGCUGGGCUCACGCUGCGUGGCGCAUCCACCCCUCGACUGACGCGCGGAGAAGCAUUUUUCAUUUUUUCUUUCAGCUUCCCUGUUUUCAAACAAACAUCAGAUUUAAGAAGGUGAGGACUCCAAAGAAGAUCCAAACGCGAGACCAGGAAGAUUCACGUUUCCACUACUUCUUCCAAUACAUUUCACUAAUUUCUA
rnacentral:lncRNA from 1 species